CAGAAAUCAGCAAUAAUGUAGUUGUUGUAUUUCUGUUCUGUAGUAAAACUUGUCAUGCUUGGUAAAUUAUAAAAAUGACUUGCUAUACAGAUUUAUGAUAUGCCCACCAGGAAACUCUAGAAAACGAGAAAAAAGAAGUUUGUAAUUUAAUAGUAAAUUAAAUUUAUGUUGCAUUAAAUUUGUCUCUAGGACAAAAAAGUAGAACUGUGAAUAGUUUACAGCCCAAAACGUCUCUAUACAUUGGAUUAUUUGAUCAAACCGGUUUUGGUUGUUUUUUUGUCAGUG